rnacentral:rRNA from 1 species
UACGUAGGGUGCAAGCGUUAAUCGGAAUUACUGGGCGUAAAGCGUGCGCAGGCGGCUUUGUAAGUCUGACGUGAAAGCCCCGGGCUCAACCUGGGAAUUGCGAUGAAGACUGCAAGGCUUGAAUCUGGCAGAGGGGGGUAGAAUUCCACGUGUAGCAGUGAAAUGCGUAGAGAUGUGGAGGAACACCGAUGGCGAAGGCAGCCCCCUGGGUCAAGAUUGACGCUCAUGCACGAAAGCGUGGGGAGCAAACAGG